UUUCCUUGUCGAGAUUGUCGACAAUACUCUUUUCCACUAUGAUGUGAGUAUAGUGCCCGAAUCAGUGUCCAGAGCUACCAAUAGAAAAAUCAUCUCUGAGCUUGUCAAGGCGCAUAAGGAUAAAGCCUUGGGAAGGAGAAUGCCAGCUUAUGAUGGAAGGAAGAACCUGUAUACGGCUGGUACUUUUCCUUUUGAGUCAAAGGAGUUCACGGUUUCACUGCCUGAAAAUGAUGGAAGGAAGGCCAAGGAUUUUAGAGUGAUUAUUAAGCUUGCUGGAAACACAAGCAUACACAACCUGAAGGAGGUUUUUAGUUGGUCGACAGAUUGAGGCACCUCAAGAAGUCAUUCAAGCCCUUGAUAUUGUUCUUAGGGAGUCUCCAUCUACCAAGUAUACUUCGGUAGCACGGUCCUUCUUUUCCCCGAGCUUUGGGCAUUGGGCACCCAUUGGAGAAGGCUUAGAAUGCUGGAGGGGCUACUAUCAAAGCCUUCGACCAACACAAAUGGGCUUGUCUUUGAACAUAGGUAAG